AGUGAACGCUGGCGCUAGGCCUAACACAUGCAAGUCGAACGGCAGCACAGUAAGAGCUUGCUCUUACGGGUGGCGAGUGGCGGACGGGUGAGGAAUACAUCGGAAUCUACUUUUUCGUGGGGGAUAACGUAGGGAAACUUACGCUAAUACCGCAUACGACCUACGGGUGAAAGCAGGGGAUCUUCGGACCUUGCGCGAUUGAAUGAGCCGAUGUCGGAUUAGCUAGUUGGCGGGGUAAAGGCCCACCAAGGCGACGAUCCGUAGCUGGUCUGAGAGGAUGAUCAGCCACACUGGAGCUGAGACACGGUCCAGACUCCUACGGGAGGCAGCAGUGGGGAAUAUUGGACAAGGGGCGCAAGCCUGAUCCAGCCAUACCGCGUGGGUGAAGAAGGCCUUCGGGUUGUAAAGCCCUUUUGUUGGGAAAGAAAAGCAGCAGGUUAAUACCCCGCUGUUCUGACGGUACCCAAAGAAUAAGCACCGGCUAACUUCGU
rnacentral:rRNA from 1 species